ACAGGGAGAGAGGGGGGAAAGGUGAGAGAGCGAUUGGAGAAGAGUCGAUGGGCGACACGAUGAGAUCUUCGUCCUCCUCGAACGCGUUUUCCUUCGUCCUCUACAACUACCCGCUGAUCUCCGCGAUCGUCGCCCAAUCCACCAAGUUCUUUACGACCCGACCUCUGGAAGUUCAUGCCAAAGAAAUCAUAUAUGAACUCAGCUGCUCAUUCAUCAGUCAAACUUGUCCUCUCGUGGAUGUGUAAGCUGUGCUCAAGCGAACCUUCUGCGACAGAGAUGGCUGAUAUCGUUGAGCAAAGCAUUUUAUCAUGACUCAGAUCCCAGAUUAUGUAAGAGAAGUUAUUCCAUAGAACACAACACAGAACAACAAGAAGGAUGAACAACUGAUCUGAUAGCAGAAGACACAAGGAUUCACUGAACUCAUCCUCUGCUCAGAUUUUAGAUGGUGUAUUGGGGUGACGAGCAACUAUCUGGUUAUAAGCAUUCAGCGUGAGGAAGUCGUCCAGCUCCGGUGACGUGCACUGCCUGGUGAAGAUCCUGCAGGCCUCUUCAAACUUCCCACGCUUAAACUUCUCUAACCCCACCUCCAUCUGGAUCCUUGCCAUCUCCUCUUCCACCACCCUUCCGAACAGCUCCGGCGUCACCCUCACCCUCACCUCCUCGCCGUCCAGCACCGCGCCGUACUUCAACCACUGCCAGUUCUGGACCCUGCUGAUCUCCGCGGUGGCUGCGUCCUCCAUGAGGUUGUAGAGGGGCACCGACCCCGUGCCGGUGAGCCAGGCCGCUAGGUACUGGAUGCCGACGCGAGUGUUCAGCCGGAGGCCUUCCAUCGUCCUCACGCCCCGGGGCCUCUGCAAGAGGUCCUCCUCGGUGAUGUUUCCGGCAUCUUCUCUUCUCGCCAUCUGAAUCUGGUUGGGUUUGCCGCCCAUGUUGCUGGUGAAGACUUCCAUGAUAGGCGGGAUCAGGCCGGGGUGAGCCGCCCAGGUCCCGUCGUGGCCGGCGCGGACCUCUCGCAGUUUGUCCUUCCGCACCAACUCGAGGGCGGCUUCGUUCGCCGCCGGGUUAUCCUUGAUUGGGAUUUGGGCAGCCUUUCACAUAACAGAACGAUCGAUCAGUGCAUGGACAUAUCUUCGUCGAUGGAGAAGCUCUCAGAGAUUAAGGUUCAUGGCUUACCAUGCCGCCCAUGGCGUGGACGCCGCGAUGGUGGCAGGUGCGGAUGAGGAGGUCGGAGUAGCUCCGCAUGAAGUGUUGGGUCAUCCCGACUUGGACGCGGUCGGGGAGGAGGCGGUCCGGAUGGCCUUGGAAGGUCUUGACGUAGCUGAAGAUGUAGUCCCAUCUCCCACAGUUGAGCCCGAUGGAGUGAUCCCUCAGCUCGUAAAGGAUCUCGUCCAUCUGAAACACCGCGGGAAGCGUCUCAAUCAGGACCGUCGCCCUGAUGCUCCCCUUCUCUGUUCCCGCGAACUUCUCGGCCCUCUCGAACAGACGGUUCCAUAUCUUCGCCUCCCUGUGAAGUUCAUAAUCACCUCGUCAAGUGUCUGAUAAAAUGUUGCAGAUGAAAGUAGUGAAACGGGUGUCCAGCUCUAAGCUAACCUCGAGUGCUCUAUCUUGGGGAGAUAGAAGAAAGGCCCGUAACCGUCGCCUUGAGUGGCCCGGAACUUGGCAUGGUUGUGGAAGAAGUAAAGACCGAAGUCCACAAGGCAGCCGAUCACAGGCGCGCCGUCUACGAGGAUAUGGUCCUCCGGCAGGUGCCAACCCCGGGGCCGGACGAAGAGCUUCGCAGUCUCGUCGUUAAGCUUGUACUCCCUGUUCCGUGCCUGGUCAUUGAAACUUAUCGUUCCGUUUACGGCGUCUCGCAGGUUGACUUGGCCUCUCAUCAGGUUCUCCCAGCUCGGCGACAGGGCAUCCUCGAAGUCAGCCUGCAAAGGAGCUCCAUUGAAUGAGUUCAUCUUUCACUCAUCAGCAUGGUCAAUGGAUCAUUUAAUUGGAGACAAGCAAUAACAUGUACCAUGAAGACUUUGGCUCCGGAGUUGAGUGCGUUGAUGAUCAUCUUCCGCUCGACCGGUCCAGUGAUCUCGACGGUCCGGUUGGCGACGGCCGGGGGCACCAGCGCGCACGCCCAGUCGCCUUCCCUGAUAAGCCUCGUCGCCGGGUCGAACCCCGGCAGCUCGCCGGAGUUGUACCUCCUCUGUACCUCGCGGCGGCACUCCAUCGCGUACCGAAUGUGGUCGCGGAACUCCCGCUGCAACGCCGCGACGAACUGCAAGGCAUCCCUGGUGAGGAUCCCCGCGAACUCCUCGUCGUACCUCCCCCCGACGUCCACCCCCUCCGGCACGUCAUAGAAGCCCAGCAGCACUGGCUGGACUUCGCUAAUGGGAGAAUUGAGACGCAUCAGAUGAGAUGGGUGAUGGGCUAAUGGCCUCUCACUGAUGGGUGGCUCCCAUUAAUCCAUGGGGACCAUUAGCUUUCGCUUGUGCCUCAAACACACCGUCCCCAAUCCUGCUUCCUUCCCCUGUUCCACCCAAUGCCCUGUUCAUAUACUUGGGGUCGAUCGUCGAUCGCUCUCCCUUUUCCACUGCCUCCAAAGCUCUUACCUUUACCGUUCUUCCUCCCCUGUUCUCACCGAUUCCCUCGCCGUUCCUCGCUCCGGCCGAUUGGGCCGCUGUCUUUUAUGGUCGAUUUCUUCGGUUUUUAUGGCUAUCUGCCCUCGGUUUCGUCGAACCUUGUGGCAGAUUCUGACCUUUUGAGCCUGGCUUCGGCGUUCCUUUCUUGAUUGAAGCCCUAAUCCAUAAAAUAAAAUAAAAUAAAAGCGAUUUUUCCCUUUAGUUUCUUGUUUCUUUUUCCAUCCCGGCCUUCAAAAUCCGGCUUUUCAGCGAUUUGUGUAAUUUUCUGGCGUUGAUUUCUGGUUCUGCAGCUUUGAUUGUUCGUGAUCUGUUUGCUUCGAUAAUUUUGGUGGAUUUCGUCCCUUUCGAGAACGCUUAAAUGGCUGGAGAAAGCUGCAAUCUUGACAAAGAUGAAGCGGAGAUCUUCAAGCCCUCUCCCUCUUCUUCCCCUUCUCCUUCGCCACCUUCACCCCCAUCGUCAUCGCAACCGCCGCCGCCUUCUUCUGUCCUUCUGAAACCGAGCGAGGAAUCCGGUAUUCAGAGGCCCGAGAUACCGGAAUCUCCUCCGGCCCCCACGAUAACGUUUGCGGCUUCCUCCACACCGAAGCUUGACGAGGAGCCCUCCAACCCCGGGGAGGAACCCCCGGCUCCUGUUAGAUUCAGCAACAGAUGCUCUGCUUGCCGGAAAAAGGUUGGUCUCACCGGAUUCCGGUGCCGGUGCGGUGAUCUCUUCUGCGGUCGUCACCGGUACUCUGAUGCCCAUGAAUGUUCUUUCGAUUACAAGGCUGCUGGGAGGGAGGAGAUCGCCAAGGCCAACCCUGUCAUCAAAGCUGCCAAGAUCAUCAAGAUCUGAGAAUGAAGGUUGGGUGCAUGAUGAUGAAGUGCAUGAAGGCCAGCCUGGAAAUGACUGCAAGUGGGUUCAAGCUUUCUCAUGGUAUAAACAAAAGCUUUCUGAAAGAAGAAAUUGUUGUUGGUGCAGCCUUUUCUAUUAUACAGAUUCCAACUAAAGGCUUCUGAAUCAAGCACAAAGCUGAGGUCCACCAAGACCAAAUUCUCUCUGUGUUCCCUGGAUGUGUUUGAGGUUAUUCUUCUAUUGAUGGUUCAAGUAAUUGUGCUCUGUAUAACCUUCAUUAUCUUUUGCACUAGUAUUAUGCUUAUCAUCAAAUUAAUCA